UCUCUUUGAGCAGGGACUGGGACUCAAGUUUCCCCCCUCCCAGGCGGGUCCAGAGGAGAUGUGACCCCGCAUCAACACAGCUGUGCGCAGGCCACACACCAGCAAUCCACAGCCUGGAUGCUCAUAGGAAGAAAUGUGAGAAAGAAAGAAAAACAUAAUAGUUUCCGAUCAUCAAAUAUUUUGGCAUAAAUAGUGAAGUAGGAAAGAAAGUGGCAGUGGAGUCUUGUCUGGGCACUCUUCUUCGUCAGUCACCUCUUUUGCUGACUACUCACCUCAGUACUGAGAUACGCAGAUGGAUUGUGGUUUCCUUCUGGCCAGUGGC